GAUGAACGCUGGCGGCGUGCCUAAUACAAGCAAGUCGAGCGAACAGACGAGGAGCUUGCUCCUCUGACGUUAGCGGCGGACGGGUGAGUAACACGUGGAUAACCUACCUAUAAGACUGGGAUAACUUCGGGAAACCGGAGCUAAUACCGGAUAACAUGUUGAACCGCAUGGUUCAACAGUGAAAGACGGUCUUGCUGUCACUUAUAGAUGGAUCCGCGCCGCAUUAGCUAGUUGGUAAGGUAACGGCUUACCAAGGCAACGAUGCGUAGCCGACCUGAGAGGGUGAUCGGCCACACUGGAACUGAGACACGGUCCAGACUCCUACGGGAGGCAGCAGUAGGGAAUCUUCCGCAAUGGGCGAAAGCCUGACGGAGCAACGCCGCGUGAGUGAAGAAGGUCUUCGGAUCGUAAAACUCUGUUAUUAGGGAAGAACAAAUGUGUAAGUAACUAUGCACGUCUUGACGGUACCUAAUCAGAAAGCCACGGCUAACUACGUG
rnacentral:rRNA from 1 species